rnacentral:misc_RNA from 1 species
AUGAUUGCGAAUUGUUGCCUCUCUGUUCUGCCUGUAUUCUACCCUUGUUUGUCAUAUACUAUUAUUUCCUCGGCAGGCUUGCUUGCCGAGUGAAACCAAUUAUAACCUAUUUAAUUUUCAAUCAGCGUCUGAAAAAAUUAAUAAUUA